AACGCACAUUGCGCCCCGUGGUAUUCCGCGGGGCAUGCCUGUUCGAGCGUCAUUUCACCACUCAAGCCUGGCUUGGUAUUGGGCGUCGCGGCCUCCGCGCGCCUCAAAGUCUCCGGCUGAGCAGUCCGUCUCCGAGCGUUGUGACAUUUUCGCUAGGGAGUUCGCGUCUGCCGCGGCCGUUAAAUCAUUAACACCAAAGGUUGACCUCGGAUCAGGUAGGGAUACCCGCUGAACUUAA
rnacentral:misc_RNA from 2 species